UGCACGGUGGCGCAGUUGGUAGCACUGUUGCCUUGCAGCAAGAAGCUCCUGGGUUCAAUUCCCAGCCUGGGGUCUUUCUGCAU